CACGUAGGGGGCGAGCGUUGUCCGGAUUCAUUGGGCGUAAAGGGUGCGUAGGCGGCGCGGUAAGUCGGGUGUGAAAUCUCGGAGCUUAACUCCGAAACUGCAUUCGAUACUGCCGUGCUUGAGGACUGGAGAGGAGACUGGAAUUUACGGUGUAGCGGUGAAAUGCGUAGAUAUCGUAAGGAAGACCAGUGGCGAAGGCGGGUCUCUGGACAGUUCCUGACGCUGAGGCACGAAGGCCAGGGGAGCAAACGGG
rnacentral:rRNA from 1 species